GAUGAAGAACGUAGCAAAAUGCGAUAAGUAAUGUGAAUUGCAGAAUUCAGUGAAUCAUCGAAUCUUUGAACGCACAUUGCGCCCUCCAGUAUUCUGGCGGGCAUGCCUGUUCGAGCGUCAUUUCAACCCUCAAGCACAGCUUGGUGUUGGGACUCGCGUUAAUUCGCGUUCCCCAAAUUGAUUGGCGGUCACGUCGAGCUUCCAUAGCGUAGUAGUAAAACCCUCGUUACUGGUAAUCGUCGCGGCCACGCCGUUAAACCCCAACUUCUGAAUGUUGACCUCGGAUCAGGUAGGAAUACCCGCUGAACUUAAGCAUAUCAAUAAGCGGAGGA
rnacentral:misc_RNA from 1 species